CUUAGAAGUGAGAAUGCCGGUGUGAGUAGCGAAAGACGGGUGAGAAUCCCGUCCACCGAUUGACUAAGGUUUCCAGAGGAAGGCUCGUCCGCUCUGGGUUAGUCGGGUCCUAAGCUGAGGCCGACAGGCGUAGGCGAUGGAUAACAGGUUGAUAUUCCUGUACCACCUAUAAUCGUUUUAAUCGAUGGGGGGACGCAGUAGGAUAGGCGAAGCGUGCGAUUGGAUUGCACGUCUAAGCAGUAAGGCUGAGUAUUAGGCAAAUCCGGUACUCGUUAAGGCUGA
rnacentral:rRNA from 1 species